rnacentral:rRNA from 1 species
AAUAUUCGACAAUGGGGGCAACCCUGAUCCAGCCAUUCCGCGUGUGUGAAUAAGGUCUNCGGAUUNUNAAGCACUUUAAGUUGGGNGAAAGGGCUUUAGGUUAAUACCCUGAAGUUUUGACGUUACCAACAGAAUAAGCACCGGCUAACUCUGUGCCAGCAGCCGCGGUAAUACAUAGGUUGCAAGCGUUAAUCGGAAUUACUGGUCGUAAUGCGCGCGUAGGUGGUUCAGUAAGAUGGGUGUGAAAUCCCCGGGCUUAACCUGGGAAUUGCUUUCAUAACUGCUGAGCUAGAGUACGGUAGAGGGUAGUGGAAUUUCCUGUGUAGCGGUGAAAUGCGUAGAUAUAGGAAGGAACACCAGUGGCAAAGGCGACUACCUGGACUGAUACUGACACUGAGGUGCGAAAGCGUGGGGAGCAAAC